rnacentral:lncRNA from 1 species
ACCUUCCACCUCUUUGGAUUCUCUGCUCUGUUUUUAGAAAUGCAAUUCCAAACAAGAAAGACGUGGAGAAUUACAGAAUCCCUCCAGAUUGCUACUGAUACCUCUCACUCCCCACCUGGAAAAUUAAGGUAAAGAAUGAGAAUGACAGACUGUGUGCCCUACCUGUAUCUACAUGGAAACUUAAAACAAUGGCUGAUGCAAUCUUACUAGGCAAACUGAGGAUACUUAGGUUUCAGAAUAUUCCAUGGAACAGAAAUCCCAACUUUCAACCAGCUCUUCUAUCAAGUACUUCCUCCAGGUUUGUUUUUUUACAGUAGGAGAAUAAAACACACCAUUACUAUAUCA